rnacentral:tRNA from 1 species
GGAGGUAUCGCUCAGUGAUAGAGUGCAUGCCUAGAAUGCACAAGGUCCUGGGUUCAAUCCUCAGUCCCUGCA